rnacentral:rRNA from 1 species
GAUGAACGCUGGCGGCGUGCCUAAUACAUGCAAGUCGAGCGAACGGACGAGAAGCUUGCUUCUCUGAUGUUAGCGGCGGACGGGUGAGUAACACGUGGAUAACCUACCUAUAAGACUGGGAUAACUUCGGGAAACCGUAGCUAAUACCGGAUAAUAUUUUGAACCGCAUGGUUCAAAAGUGAAAGACGGUCUUGCUGUCACUUAUAGAUGGAUCCGCGCUGCAUUAGCUAGUUGGUAAGGUAACGGCUUACCAAGGCAACGAUGCAUAGCCGACCUGAGAGGGUGAUCGGCCACACUGAAACUGACACGGUCCAGACUCCUACGGGAGGCAGCAGUAGGGAAUCUUCCGCAAUGGGCGAAAGCCUGACGGAGCAACGCCGCGUGAGUGAUGAAGGUCUUCGGAUCGUAAAACUCUGUUAUUAGGGAAGAACAUAUGUGUAAGUAACUGUGCACAUCUUGACGGUACCUAAUCAGAAAGCCACGGCUAACUACGUG